AGCAUCUGUUCAGUAUCUGCAGUUUGAAUGCUAAGAGCACCGUGGCCUUCUUGUAAACAACACUAGGUGCCAGAGAAACCAGCUGGAAUUUCAGGAAUGAGCUUGAAACCAGGACAGGAGUAAGGUUGGCUGUGCAGGAUUUACUUCCUAAUGUCCAUGACUGGAGCUCAAAAGAAGUGUGGGCCUAGGACCUUUGAGCUUUGCCUGAAAGUGACAGCAGUUCUCUCGGCGGGGCCAGCAUCUAACCGGCCCUCUGGUGGAUUUACCAUGAAGCUAGCACUGGCUUCAUCUUGGAAAUACGGAAGAUGGUUCUAGCCCCCAAAUACAGAGUAAGUCUCUUGGUAGAUUGCCCUGAAGUCAUCAGCUCAAUCCUUCCUCAACAGGCUCCAUGAGGAAACCCACAAACACAGCAGAGUGAGCAGAGGGAAAAAGACUCCUAGGAAGCCAGCUGGCCUCCUGCUGGACCUGCACAGCCGGUUCAAGGGCAACUGACCAGGGAAUGCCAGGAUGUGGCAGUGGUCACAGUGAAGAGGAUGCAUCCCCUCCCACCGAGUUCUCAUGACGGGCCCCUCACUGGACUGGACAUUCUUCAUUUCAGCAGCGUCCUCAGUGAUGAUGCUUAUCAUCACCCCAAAGCUCAAGAAAGUGGGUUCCCAUCCACAGAUGGAGGACUGGGCUCCUCUGCUCCCUUCUAGCACUUCCCUCCUGCCCUGAACUGGAGGGAAACAGGUCCAUGUGUGCAUUCCACCUUUGACAACCACCACAGCACAUCUACCAGGAUGGAUCAGCGCCCCCACCUGGGGCCUCAAGCCUCAGUCCCAGGCUGGGCUGCUCACCUGCCUUCCCCUCACUGCAGUCUCCAUCCCAGCCCCUCCUCCACACGCCCUGGCCCGGAUAUAACUGCAGGAAAUCAAAACUUCCCCUCACUACAACUUCCUGUUUGGAGGGAACAGAAAUCAAGGAAACUACCACCCCUUUGCAGCUGGACUUGGGAGAUCUCAGGUAUCAGACCACUGAGCAACCCACCGCCAGGCUGCAGGCCUUCAGAGGCCCACCUGGGCCCCAGGGCGGGCUCCCAGCGCAACUGCAGGCAUCCUCUAGUGGGGCCUCCGGUAACCCUAGCAGAUGGUGGUGACCCCCCUGAGAUGAGGAAGCUGGGGGCCUGAGACUGAGCAGCAGCCUAUGGGCUCCGGGUCAAGUGCUGUUCCCAGCGGACGCCCUUCCCCUGUGCCAGUCCCUCCUUCCUGAGUGUCCAGCCCCCAAUGCAAACAGCAACCCCAGCCUCUGAAACUACUUUUUUUCUUAGAAAAAACACAACAAAACAUAAAACUUGUUUCUGAUUAUGAAAA
rnacentral:sRNA from 1 species